AAGUUCUAGUAGUGCUGUUCUGGAACUGAUCAGGAGCUCAGGAGAAAGAUCAAGACUGGAGAUGUAGGAAAGAUUGUUGAAACUCCAAAAGUGGGUGAAUUCUUUGAAUGGAUUUCCUUUGGGCAAUACUUCUUUCCCCCAUUGACUCCACAGAGGAAGACCGGCAUAAACAGACAUCUGGCAAAGAGUACCCCCAAAACUAUAUCUUGACCUGAUUGGAAAACUGGACUAUACUAGGAGGAGACCACCUGAAAUCUGAACCUGUCAUCUGUAAAAGGACCUUCCAGAUCCAACGGAUGUCUCAUUCAAUCAACUUCACUAGGAGAAAAAAAAUGGUUUUCUUAUUCUCGUGGCCUUUGAUUUUUCCUCAGAGUUUCUGCUAGUUAGUUGGAAACCAGGGGCUCGCAGUGGCAAAGCUAAGCUAGGACUUGGAGGCUUCUGGCAGGCGAGGCGGGUGGAGGAGGAAGGAGGCUGACAGAUCCACUGGGGGGAAGAAAAGCCGAACUGGAUUCACCGUGUCCUGGAUGGAAAAGGAGGAGGAGGAAGAGGAGGAGGAGGAGAGGAGGAGGAGGAGGAGGACAGAGAGGGGAACCGCGGAGCUCCUUCAACUCGCGCUGUCCGGUGAGAAGUGAGCAAGCAGGGACUGAUAGGAGGCUCCGGGAGCCCUCGCCUCCUUUCGCUUUUUUACCUGCCAAUCAAACCGCUACAAGACAACACCCUGAUCUGGCAUGGACAUAUUCCAAGAUUCACAAGAAAUCAGGAUAAUGGAGAAACCUUUGCAGCCUUCCAGAAAUCAGAGAUCUGAGAAGUAAAAGAAAAAAAAAAACAUGUCCAGGAAGAAUCACAGGAAAGUAACCAUUUUUUUCCUCUUUAAUAUUAACAGCAACAUUCAAAGGAACUUGAAUUUCAAGGUGCCCAGACUUCCAAACAAUUAGAAAGCUGAUUUCCUGGUACCCUCAGAUGGGCAGCUUUUAGAAUAUUCCAGUUCCAGGCUGGCACCCCAAACACCUCUCAGUGGGAUUCAGUAGAACAUAUGAAAUGGUUUGCUAUUUAGGGCUGAGCAUCGUUUGGGGGAACUUUUGUACAAGAUUCCAUGGGGAAGAGAAGGAGCCUCUCCUUUGAAAGGGUUAACUGGGUAGGAGGUUGACAAAAGCGAGGAGAGCGGUUUGUUAAAGCACUUAGUUUAAUUUGAGAAGAUGUACAGAUAGAAAAUAGGAGGGAGGAAAGAGAAAUAUUUUGUAUUUUUGUCUCUCGAGUAGCAUCCUGUAUCCUGUCGAGUUUUUCACCAACACCUCUAUAGGGAGACCGAACUGGCCACGUCCAUCUCCAUGCCUUGCCUUAGACUGAUGUAGCCCCAUUUCCUUUUCCUCUUGAUUCCCCUCUUUAACAAGAAGUUAGACAAACUAAACCAAAUCCUCUCACAGGAGGAAAAACCGACCAAUCAACCCGGGGCAUUUUUCUGAUGCCAAAUAACCAUUUCGCUCAUUUUUCUUUUUAAAUGUGAGCGUGCCACAUGGAUGAACUGGUUUCUCUUAUUUUUAUUUUUUGCUUUUCUUUUAAAAAGAAAAAAAAAUAAGGGAGAAAUCAACUCUAAUAACAGCAUUCGAAUAGAUUCAGGAAAUCAGAGGAAAUGCUGCGUAGUUGAAGCGCCCAUUGGGGGUGUUGUUUAUCAUCCCUGUCAAAUGCUAACUCAGAAAGCACAGCCCACUCCCCCCUCCUCCCCAUUCUAACUUUUGUAUGUUGGAAGACUAUGCAUGUGCAAACCUUGGGGGGCAGGGGGGUCCCUUAAGGGAGCUUUUGUGAGCCCAGAGCCCCCGUCUAUCAGCUCCCACCAAAGCAGUGGCCAGUGCAGGGCUGAGGACUCAAAUACUUUCAUUCUUUAUCUUGUAUCUCUGCAAGGUGGGUUUUGACUUUUUUUUUUCCUGGAUUUUUUUUUUAAUUUUCCUUUUCAGUAAGAAGGAUAAGCUUGGAGUAUCCAGUCGCCGUGGUAACUGCCAGAAAAAUCCUCCUGAAGUUUGAAGAGGUCAGCUAGCAGGGUCAACAACUCUGGCCUCUUUCUGCGCUCGGCCUGGCAGGCCCCAGCCUGCGGUUGGAGUGUCAGGCGAGGGCUAACCCUGGGAGGUGGGCCAUUCCAGCUCUGAUAUAAAUUUUUUGAGUCAGUUCACGGCUUGGGCUCUCCAGGUGGCCUCCAAAAUCGAUGGUGACCCCCUGACCUUGUCUCACGGAGGCAGAGCAUCUAACCUAAGCAAGGAUUUAGCCAGGAAUGACAGCUUUCCGCUGAGUGUUAUUGGGGACAGCGCAAACAGUUUGGGGGAGCCAGGAGGUAGGUGUGAGGGCUGGGGGGCUCAUUAAAAGCACAUUAAACAGCAAUUUUCAAGACCCUUUUCUGUUUAAAUAAAUUACGAGUAGCAAGAAUCAGGCCCAUUUUGGGCGCCAGGCCCUUUUCUUCUUCCAUCUUGGAAGAAUCAUCUUCCAUCGUGGAAAGGUUGGGGAAAGUUAUAGCGGGAAUCAAAGUCUGCCUCCUCACUCCCCAGCAGCCUUUUGGGGACAAACAGAGAAUAAACGCUUGGCUUCUGACAGAAUCCCUGCAUUCUGAGGAGCUCCACAUGCCUCCUCCAAAAGGCUCCAAAAAACCAAGCUGAUUAUUCUAAUAGAAAAGUCUUCUACUUGGGUCAAAUCAAUGAGUCCAACCGGAUGCUUUUGUUUCAAUCUGGAAAAAAGAAGGAACUUAUUAAAAAAAAAACAACCCAGCAUUUUGGAAUGAAGCUAGACCAGUUGUGAGGUCCCAACACCUUGCUGUUUUGUCAAACAAAUAGGGAGAGACUUUAUUUUAACCCUAUGGAGAGAAGGGGAGGGGGCACCCAACACUCCCAUUGGAAUGAGUUCAGAGGUGGAUGAAAAAUCCUUAAAUUGUGUCGCCUUGUUUUUUUCUGAAUGGGACAUCUCAUAGUCGAUGCCUCACCCCGUUUUUCUAAGGGAAAAAUGUCUUGUUUCCUUUGACUAGGUUAGUCUAAAUAAAUUCAACUGGAAAAUUAUAUAUCUAUGUGAAAUAUUUUAAAAAUACAUGUAAUGUCAAAUGUAUGUCAAAUGUAUAAACAAUCUGUAAAAUAUAUAUCACAAAUAUAUAAAAAUACAAAUAUAUAAUAUCUUAUAUCUAGAAUAUAUUUUAUAAAUAUUACAUAUAUCAUAUCAUAAAUAUAGAAAAUAUAUGUCACAUAAAUAUAGAAAAUAUAUAUCACCUAUCAUAGAAAUAGAAAAUAUGUCAUUUAAAUAUAUAAAAUAUAUAUCAUGUAAAUAUAUAAAAUGUAGAUUACAUGUUAUAUAAAUAUAUAAAAUAAGUUAUAAAUGUAUAAAAUCUUUACCUUCUGCCUUAGAAUCAGAGGCCAGAUUUGAACUAAGGUCCUCCUGACUCUAAGGCCAGAGUUCUCACCACUGGGCUGCAGGGACACUUUCAUCAUCUUCCUUCCAGAAGCUCCUCAUUAUAAGCUGUUUAAUGGUUAACUCUUAUUAUUUCUCAGCAAUAGCAAGGAAUUUGAGAGAUGGACUGUUAGAGUGAAUAGAGAACCAACCUGAUUAAUAGGGAAAUUUGGGGUUGGAUUUCCACCUUUGACAUACUCCAGUUAGGUGACCCUGAAUUUGUUAUUUAAAUUUUCAAUGCUCUGGGACAACUAGUUGGUUUAGUGGAUUAAGAACCAAAUCUAGAGAUGGGAGGUCCUGGGUUCAAAUUUGGCCUCAGACACUUCCAGAAUUCAUUUUCCUUCCCUUCUUUGAUCAAUUAAUGUUUUUUCUUGCAGAGCACAUUCUGAGAAAUGGUAUCUGGGAGCUAAGUCGCUGACCCGCAUUUUGGCAAAAAAGGUGACAACAAAUGAUUUAGGAAUGCCCAAGUCUUGGCCUCAAGAAUACUUCCCGGCCAGUUUUUCUCAGGCUUAACUCCAGAUAGCUGGCUUUUCCAAAACAGAUAUGGGAUGAUCCUAUAGCUAAUGAACCUAUUCAGAAAUGCACGAAUAGCCACUGUAUUUGGAAAGAAAACCAUAGGCUUCCAAGACCAAGGCUGCCAUUUGCAUGACGAUGCUUCAGAGUUUCUUUGUGGGGAAGUGGUAGGGAGCAAUCAGACUUCCAUUUGCUCUGAUAAGCUGCUUCCCCCAGCCUUCCACCUUCAAAGUAUGUGAAGAAAAUUCUGGAGGUCUAGAACUCUUGUCCUGAAAUUGUUUCCCUCAAAUUAAAAAAAAAAAUUGAUUUCUAGAACUUCUCCAGUUUCCCAGGAAAAUAAAGGAGAAUCCUACCAUUUAUAUUUUAGGAAGACAGUGAACUUUAGCAUUUAGAAACUGGGUUUUGUAAAAAUUUUGAGUGCUUUACCCUAUGGAUAUGGAAUAUUUUAUACAUGUGCCACAUGAGCUCCGGUAUCACUUGGUUUGGCUCAAUAAUCUUUCUUCAUUAUAGGAAUACAACCCAGGUAAAAAUAUGUCCAGAACUAAGCUAUGAAAACAAAAGGCACAACAUUUUCAAAAAAUGAUACUUUAAAUAUGGUUGGGGAUAUAGAUUCUAAGCAAUCAUCUUAGUGCAAAUAUCAAGAAUAUGGAAAUAGAUCUUGAUCAAUGACACAAGUAAAACCCAGUGCAAUUGCUUAUCAACUAUGGGAGGGGGGUUUGAGAGGGGUGGGAAAGAACAUGAAUUAUGUAACCAUGGAAAAAUAUUCUAAAUUAAUUCAUUAAAUAAAAUUUUCCAAAACUUGAAAAAAAUGAUAUUUUGGGGAGAAAGUUUAAACCUUCAUCUAUCAUAAGCAAUUCACCUCCCUUGGGCAGGUAUACCUUCUGCCAUCUUCCUUUGGUUCUUGAUUUUGUGACUUUAAUUAUCAUUGGGAUCAGAGCUUUGAAGCUGGAAUUUGAGCACUCGGGCCAAGUCAGUAUCCUUCUAUGAAUCUUUAUUUUUGUAUUUCCCUACUUGAGUAUAAUUAAAUGAACAUCUCAUCUCUUUCCCAUGUAUGUGGAAGAGCUUGCCAUCUUAAUUUUCCUGGCAAGCAGAUGGACCCUGAAAAGCUUCUUAGGAGCAAGACUCCAGUGAAACUUUGUAGAUUGGGGAAAUCAUCUUUAUUACAGGAAGAAGGUAUUCAAGAGCUAGUAUUGGGCAUGAUCAAUUUGACAUCCUUCUUCUCUGGAAUGCCAAUAUCUUGAAAAUAGAAACAAGAAAGUGGACUGCAGGCUGUCUCCUUCAGUAUGAAGGUCACCCAAGUUUAAGUCAUCCUACCUUCUAGUAUCUAGUUCAUUUAAUAUAGCUGCACAAUGAUUGAAAAUCUUAUAGUGCCUGGAUAGGUAAGCAGCCCACUUGUUUUGGAUGUGUGUAAAUUGAAAAACUAUCAAUAAAGAAGAAAGCUUUCCCACCUCUGCUUUCCUUUCCCUCUUGCCAAUAUCUGCAUUGAUGUUCAAAUUCUCCUAUUUGGAUAUGAUGAGCUAAGGAACUCCAGUUACUUUAAAGAAAAAUAGUGGGGGCCCUUGGGUAGCUCAGGGGAUUUAGAGAUGAGAAGUCCUCAGUUCAAAUUUGACCUCAGACACUUCCUAGUUGUGUAACUCUAGACAAGUCAUUCAGCCAGCCCUUACCACUCUUUUGCCUUGGAACCAAUAUACAGUAUUGAUUUCAAGAUGGAAGGUAAGGGCUUUUUAAAAAUUGCAAACAAAUAAACGCAUUGUAGCACAUACUAAAGGUGGCCCCCAAGAACGUGUCUGUUGGAGAAGAGGGAGUUCAAUUUGAAGGUUGGGUGGUAAGGAAGGGAAAGGUCUUUAAAAAAGUUAUUGUGAUAUAGAUACAAGAUAGAUAUCAUUAAAAUUAAUUUUCAAAAUUAUGGCUAAGGUAGAAAAAAGUUUUGUCAUCAGUAUAUAUAAAAAAGAAUAGUCUAGCUGGUAAUGUUUUCUGGCUUCCACCUAUGUACCCCCUAACCAGAGUUUUCUUGGCUCACCAUGUUCCCUAAUAUUUAAGGGAUAGAGAAAGAAAAUGACAGAAAAUGGAUUUGGACAAUAUUUUUUCCCAUGUGCCCACAAAAUCUUGAAUUAAUUAAAGCUGAUGUUUGGUUUUCAUUUUAGCCCUUCAUGGACAAAGAGGUGAAUGGCCUUUUGAGCAGCCCUAAUGGAGUCUUCAUCUCAUUGGUUAUAUGUCACUUACUAAAAAUAUUUAGGGGUAGUUCAGAAGCUUUGUUGGAUGUGGCAUCUGUCUGAUCCAAUGAUCAGUUUCCUCAGAAUUUACUUUUUAAGACACAUAGUAUUAUCCAAAAGUGCACCCCCCCUUUUUUUAAGCAAUUCAUCGUGACGAGCUAUUAUAUUAAGUUCUGGACCCCAGAUGUGUUCCUUUCAUGAAUGGAUUGGUCUAGAUGACCACUGUGGACUUUUUAAACUCUCAUUUUAGAAUCAAUACACAGUGCUAAAAGCUAGUAAAUGGGGAUUAAAUGACUUGCCUCGGAUCACACAAUCAGGUGUCUAUGACCAUAUUUGAACCCAGGACCUCCCAUCUCUAAACUUGGAUCUCAAUCACCACCUAGCUGCCCUUCACUGAAACUUCUUAAGCAAGGGAGUGACAUGACCUUUGAAGUUUGGUGUCAGUCACAAUUUAGAAUCACAGAAUCUGAGAGUUGAAAAAGUCUGCAAUGACCAUCUAGACCAACCCAUUUAUGAAAGGGAAACAUGAUCAGGGGUCAGAUUUUGACCUCUAUUCCUUGCUAGAUGGGUUAUAACAGACAACUCACUUGACCUCUCAGUCUCAGUCUCCUCAUCUGUAAAAUGGGGGUAAUGAUUCCUUUGCUGUUUGUAAAUCCAAAGUACUUUAUAAGUGUGAGUUGUCAUUAUUGUGAUUAGGUCACCAUCCUUUGUAGAUUCAGAGUCUCUUCAGCCAAAGAUCCACUUGAAUGUGAGUGUUAACCUUGUAGGGGGCUUAAAUUCACAGUACAAUGGAUUCCUUAAAUAAUUCUUGCAGCUGGGCUUUUCUUAAAGUUCAAAAAGGUACAGAUCUGACCCCAAGAAGAUGCCAAAAUAUAUUAGGGUGAGUCACAGCCUUCCUGGUAUCUGAAAACCUAUGGGUGGGAAAGAAAUUGCUAGCUCUCCUCCCAUCUUCAAUGGGUUUGGGCCUUAAAGAGAUUCAGUAGAGUGACCCCAAAAAACAGUUGAGCCAUUGACAAGCAUUUAUUGAGAACCUGCUCAGAGCUGGACACUGUGCCAGGGACUCGGGACAGUAGGACAGAAGUGAAACCUUUUUGCCCCUUUUCUAAGCAGCAGACAAUAUAUGGGAAAUUAGAGAGAGGCGAUAAGGGGUUGGGGAGGAGAGAGGUGAUAGUAGAUGGAUAGAGAUAAAAGAGAUGAUAGAUAAUGGACAGAUAGAUAAAGAGAUAGAGAGAUUAAAGGAUGAUGGAUAGACAGGGAAUUGUGUGGAUAGAAAUAGUUUGAACUGGUAGCUAGUCCAUGGAUAGAGAUAGGCAGACAGAUGUGAUACUUUGGAUGGAGAUAAGAUGAAGAGAUAGAUGGACGGUUGAUGGUUGACAUAUAGUUGAUGAAUAGAGAUAAAUAGAUGAUAGUAAGAUAAAUGAUAGUUUAGAUAGACAAAUAGAAAGAUAACAGAGAUGUGAAUAAAUAGAAGAGAGAGAGAGAGAAUAGUGUGCAUGAAGAAAAGGAAAGAGUAUUGGAUCUGUGUUCAAGUCUCUACUUUGUAACUUACUGCCAGUGUAGCCUUGAACAUUUCCCACAGGGUCAUAGGUUCAGAGUUAGAAAGGGUUAUAAUUUAUUUUUAACCUUGUUUUGCCAAGAAGGAAACAGUUCCAGUGACAGAAAGUGACUUGUUCUUAGCUAGGCAGAGCCAAGUUUCUAACUCAGAACCUCUGACUCCAUCAAUAUUUCUAUUGGACCCCUUUCCCUCUCUAAAUCACAGUUCCCUCCAGUGUCAAAUUGGUGGGGGUAAAAUGACAUUUCUGCAAUAUUUCUCAGCUCCCAAAGUCUCUGAUCCUGAGACUUCAAUAUAGUGUGUUGCUUAAAGUAUUUUCAUAUCCCUCAUUCAUCUGAUCUAAUCAGCAGCCCUCAGAGAUUCUGACCAGAGAGAGUUAUCAGCAUUUUACAGAUGAGAAAAAAUGAUAGGCAAAAAGGUCCUUCAUUCCUCUCAGCAAAUAGAGGGCAAGAGCAGGGUUUAGACUGCUUAAAGUUUUACUGGGUAGAAAGGAAAGGGAGAAAAGAUUGGAAUGGCGGAUGUAUACAAAGAUCAGUUUAUUUAGUUAACACUUGAAAUGCCAGCAAUAAUUUCAACAUAUCAGAAACAUAGCCUAGGUUAGAUCUUAAAUGUUCUGGAUACAAGAGCAAAAACUCUGUAAUUUGCUUUUUUUCUUAUUGGGGAAGAGAUUAAAAAUGCAUACAUAAUUUUCAGUAGUGAAUUUUUUGUAUAAAGUUAUACAUGCAACUCAAUAGAAGAGUACAAAAAAUAAGUCAGCUGUGCAAAAACUGAAGGAAACCCAAAUUUUGAAGAAAAAAACCAUUUUUUUGGAGCCUUUACACAUGGAAUGGCAUUGGUUAACAGACUGAUCAAACUCUGUUAAAUAAUAUUAAGAUAAUUAGACACUAUUUAACUAUGGAUCCUCAUAAAAGUCGGCCAUGAUGAAUUUAGGUCAUUGUGAUCUUGGAACAAAACCUCCAUUUAGAAUGUUGUGAAGCCUCAGCCAAGCACACUCCUCCCUCUCUUGGACAUAGGACUACUGUAGCAGACUCCAAAAAGCUUAAGUGUAUUGUGCUAAUACCCUUUUAAUAACUCUCCCCCCCCCCCAAUUCCAGAGAUAAACAGAAUUCAAUUCUAGUGGAGACCAUUUUCUGUUGACUUUAUUAUUUUUUUUAAUUGCUAAUCUUUGCCAAGAAGAUCUGGAUUCAAAUUUGACUUCAGGCACUUAAUAACUAUGUGCCCCCUGGGCAAGUCCCUUAAGUUCCCUCAUCAUUAGCUUCUUUAUUGAUAAAAUGUGAAAUAAUAUCUGUGAUGCUGAACUAACAGAGUUCUUGAUGCUAUAUUUGUUAUUCUGUUUGUUGAUUGACCUAAGUGACUAACCCAUAAUGACAUCAUCAAUAGACAUCAGAGGUAGGACCCUUGAACACAAGUCUCCCAGAAUCAAAGGGUAAUAAUCUACUGAUCCACUUUGUCCUUCAUUUUAAAUAAAAUUUUUAAAAUGACAAUUAUUGCUAGCUUAUUUUUCUCUUUAUUUUAGAUGUAAUUUAUGUAGAAAUGGUCUGAGAAUAAAUCACUGUCCUGCUAUUAUUUGAUAGUUAAUGCUGUACAGACUAUUACAAUAUGAGGGCAUAUCAAAUGACUGCUUGUUGUUAUUGAAUAAAAGUAUUGAGAUCGUAA